rnacentral:lncRNA from 1 species
CUUGCCAGUGGGAAAAAGGGAGCUGGCAUGAGAGAGUGCUGGUCCAGCAUGAGUAGGCUCUGAGGGAAAUUCUCAGGUGAGAUAGCUGCAAUGGGGGAAGGAAGAUGUUCCAUGUAGCUCUUGGUGCUGAAUCAGGUACCAAGCUGAGAUAGCAGUCCAAAAAUGAGAGUCAAUGCUGAGAGGGGAAUGAAUUCCUAUACCAUGAGUUUCUCCAAUAGGAUACUAUCUUAGUUUCUAAUUUUGGGGUAUCAAAAAACUGCUUAUAAAUAUUUUUAAACCUAUAAUCCUUUCUUUCUUUGAUGUCUUAGCGGUAUAGGCCUAGUAGUAGGAAGCUUCCUUCCUUCCUUCCCUCCUUCCCUCCUUCCCUCCUUCCUUCCCUCCUUCCCUCCUUCCCUCCUUCCCUCCUUCCUUCCUUCCCUCCUUCCCUCCCUCCCUCCUUCCCUCCUUCCCUCCUUCCUUCCUUCCUUCCUUUCUUUCUUUCUUUCUUUCUUUCUUUCUUUCUUUCUUUCUUUCUUUCUUUCUAUCUUUCUUUCUUUCUUUCUUUCUUUCUUUCUUUCUUUCUUUCUUUCUUUCUUUCUUUCUUUCUAUCUUUCUUCCUUUCUUCCUUUCUUCCUUUCUUCCUUUCUUCCUUUCUUCCUUUCUUCCUUUCUUUCUUUCUUUCUUUCUUUCUUUCUUUCUUUCUUUCUUUCUUUCUUUCUUUCUUUCUUUCUUCCUUUCUUCCUUUCUUCCUUUCUUCCUUUCUGCCUUCCUUCCUGCCUUCCUUCCUGCCUUCCUUCCUGCCUUCCUUCCUUCCUUUAUAUUUCUUUCUUUCAGGGAUCCACCUGAGAGAUACCUCCAGCAGCUGGGGUUGUUGCAAAGACCACAACUAGAGGAGGGGAUAACGAAUCCUGAGACUGGGAAGGAGGCAACCCUGAGGACAGACUGGAUUUUCCCUGAUGAACAAAGGAGAUGAAAAGAAACUUGAGGGAGGAAAUUCCUUCUUUCAACCCAUGAAGAUCCUCAACUGUUGCCAGGGGCACUGAGAGGAUCAGUGACUUGUCCUGGGUCACACUGCCAAAGUGUGGCAUAGGCUGGACUUGAACCUAGAUCUUCCCUAUUCCAAGGCAGCCCUCAAACCACCAUAACAUGCUUUUUGAGAAUAUUGCUCCUGAAGAAAUACUUCCUGAGCUUUGUGGAAUAAAUGCUCUAAUUGGAUCA